GUUCUGUUCGGUUUCGCCUUCCUGCUGUGCAGUCUUUUGACGCUUGCUGUCCAACUUUGGAGUUUUCUUGCCUUUUUUUCUCUCAGAGUUGAGCCCCUGCCCGGGCCCUUUAGUCCCUCGGUCACGAGGAACGGUAGAGUUUAGAACCUGUGAGUACGUUAGAAAGUUCGCAGUCGAGGAAGAACAGGGUUCGGGCAAGGGCAGCUGGUCCGGUACCAAGGGAAAACAGGCUGGGAUGGUGAAGGCGUCAGUGGCUACAAGGCUGGAAGUUUAGCACCAGAAGGGAAUUUGGAGAUCAAUUCAACCGCCUCAUUUCAGGCAUACUUAAAUUGAAACCCAGAAAGAUGAGGUAAUUUGCAGAAGGUCACCCAGCAACCCCUGAGCAGGCAGGACUGCAACACAAAUGUCUGACGUGGGCUUCCACUGUGUAAUGCUAAGCAGAUAGGACGUAAAUUCCUUUGCAGACUUCUCAUUUUUCCUUACCCCCUGCCUCUCAUAUUACACACCUUCCCCAUUUAGCUUUUCUUCUUUUACUUUGCACUUGCUUUUGUACAUCUAAAAGGAAUUAAUUAUUCAACAGCAGUGGGAACCCUUGAAACAUAAUCUGGAAAAAAAGAUUAAUAAAGUUUUUUUUAUGUCGCGUAGUGAAAA
rnacentral:lncRNA from 1 species